GAUGAACGCUGGCGACGUGCCUAAUACAUGCAAGUCGAGCGAACAGACGAGGAGCUUGCUCCUUUGACGUUAGCGGCGGACGGGUGAGUAACACGUGGAUAACCUACCUAUAAGACUGGGAUAACUUCGGGAAACCGGAGCUAAUACCGGAUAACAUGUUGAACCGCAUGGUUCAACAGUGAAAGACGGUCUUGCUGUCACUUAUAGAUGGAUCCGCGCCGCAUUAGCUAGUUGGUAAGGUAACGGCUUACCAAGGCAACGAUGCGUAGCCGACCUGAGAGGGUGAUCGGCCACACUGGAACUGAGACACGGUCCAGACUCCUACGGGAGGCAGCAGUAGGGAAUCUUCCGCAAUGGGCGAAAGCCUGACGGAGCAACGCCGCGUGAGUGAAGAAGGUCUUCGGAUCGUAAAACUCUGUUAUUAGGGAAGAACAAAUGUGUAAGUAACUAUGCACGUCUUGACGGUACCUAAUCAGAAAGCCACGGCUAACUACGUG
rnacentral:rRNA from 1 species